GACGAACGCUGGCGGCGUGCUUAACACAUGCAAGUCGAACGGUAAGGCCCUUCGGGGUACACGAGUGGCGAACGGGUGAGUAACACGUGGGUGAUCUGCCCUGCACUUCGGGAUAAGCCUGGGAAACUGGGUCUAAUACCGGAUAGGACCAAUGACUGCAUGGGUGGCGGUGGAAAGCUCUUGCGGUGUGGGAUGGGCCCGCGGCCUAUCAGCUUGUUGGUGGGGUGAUGGCCUACCAAGGCGACGACGGGUAGCCGGCCUGAGAGGGUGACCGGCCACACUGGGACUGAGAUACGGCCCAGACUCCUACGGGAGGCAGCAGUGGGGAAUAUUGCACAAUGGGCGCAAGCCUGAUGCAGCGACGCCGCGUGAGGGAUGACGGCCUUCGGGUUGUAAACCUCUUUCAGCACCGACGAAGCGCAAGUGACGGUAGGUGCAGAAGAAGGACCGGCCAACUACGUGCCAGCCGCCGCGGUAA
rnacentral:rRNA from 1 species